rnacentral:rRNA from 1 species
AACGAACGCUGGCGGCAUGCCUAACACAUGCAAGUCGAACGAAGCCUUCGGGCUUAGUGGCGCACGGGUGCGUAACGCGUGGGAAUCUGCCCUUGGGUUCGGAAUAACAGUUAGAAAUGACUGCUAAUACCGAAUGAUGUCUUCGGACCAAAGAUUUAUCGCCCAAGGAUGAGCCCGCGUCGGAUUAGCUAGUUGGUGAGGUAAAGGCUCACCAAGGCGACGAUCCGUAGCUGGUCUGAGAGGAUGAUCAGCCACACUGGGACUGAGACACGGCCCAGACUCCUACGGGAGGCAGCAGUGGGGAAUAUUGGACAAUGGGCGAAAGCCUGAUCCAGCAAUGCCGCGUGAGUGAUGAAGGCCUUAGGGUUGUAAAGCUCUUUUACCCGGGAUGAUAAUGACAGUACCGGGAGGAAUAAGACCCCGGCUAACUCCGUGCCAGCAGCCGCGGU